ensembl:lncRNA
GUGGAAGUGGCACCAUUACAUCAGCUUUGGGCACAGACCUGCCGUACUGCAAGAGUGUUCUCUGGCAGAGAUGGGCGGCAGCUCAUCACUGAUUUUUGGCAGAAGCAUCUCUCUCCGGUUGAGAUGGGCUGUUCGAGCGGCACCGGGUUCUGCACCGGGCAGUUCUGUACUGCAUGUCCCUGUUAUUCAACCAUCUUGGGGAAAAGCCUUGCCCGCGGCAAAGGCCAAUUUGUGUUCCUCUCAGGGAGGAUAGAGGGGUUUCCUCCUGAGACCGGAGAGGAACAGAUUGUGGAAUUACUAUUGGGCUACAGGAGUACCGGACCUGCAGGCUUCUGGCACAUGAAGAAUCACUGGAGCAUAUGUCGCCAGCAUGAUUCAUUCAUUUACAUUUAUAGAGUGGAAGUGGGCCAGGUAGCACACCGUGGUGACUGUCAACAGCACCUCCAUCUUCACACACUUCACAUACACCCGUCCCACCAUCCGACCAUAUGUCCCGAGAAACACAAUUUCUAAUGGACAAGGACAGCUGUAUCAGGUAUUUGGUUUCGCUAAUCAAGUGAGACCUUUCACUGAAUGCUGCUUACUCUCAGUUAGUCCUAGUGAGCAGCAUAGCCAUCCUUCCCCUGAGCAUUACAUCAUUCUGAGGGACAACCGAGCCAAUCAACAGCCUGGCAGGAUUACGCAGCAUAUGGGCAUGUCCUGACUGUGAGGGAGAGCUAAACAGCAUACUUAAAGGAGAGAGAGGCCUAACAUGACCUGUCCUGAUCCACAUCCCCAUCUAUUCACAAAGUGGUCCACGAGCCUGCGAUGCAAAGCAAAGCGACAAUGGGAUCAGUCCGCAUUUGCAUUAUGAGCACACAAUGCAUGACACAAGCUUGCCCAGAGAGAUAUUUCUGCUCAGAAAAUAUCUGGCUUCAGAAGGAUGUGUCUGCAGUGCUCAGCAUCACUCCACUGACUAUGUCUCUUGCUUAUUAACAAACCAGCCUGUCACUUUAUAAACCCUGUUUCAGCUUUCCCUCAGCCGCACACACAUACACAUCAUGAAAUACACUUAGACAAUGACAAACACACAAAUUGUCCAGUCAGUUUAAGUGAAACUCUCACCGUGCACAUGUCAUGUUAGUCACACAGAGCAUGUUGAGGUUUUAAUACAGUAAUGCAUACUAGAAAUGUUAUUAAGAAGGUGGGAAUAAUGAUUAAAAAAAAAAUAAAAAAAAUUGGGGGGUUUCCAAAUUCUUUUAUACCCACAAUUAACCAUGAUGCUGCUGUGAUGCUGAAAAAUGUGUCCUAUCUAGUUUGCUUAUAUUUCUUAACAUAAUGUAAUGUAAUGGUAAGAGGACAACUAACG